UACGGAGGGUGCGAGCGUUGUCCGGAAUCAUUGGGCGUAAAGGGCGCGUAGGUGGCCUGGCAAGCGUGCGGUGAAAGCUCGGGGCUCAACCCCGAGUCGGCCGUGCGAACUGCUAUGGCUCGAGCACUGUAGAGGCAGGCGGAAUUCCGGGUGUAGCGGUGGAAUGCGUAGAGAUCGGCAGGAACACCCAGGGGGAAACCAGUCGACUGGGCAUCUACUGACGCUGAGGUGCGAGAGCGUGGGGAGCGAACCGG
rnacentral:rRNA from 1 species